UUAAUGAGAGUUUGAUCCUGGCUCAGGACGAACGCUGGCGGCGUGCCUAAUACAUGCAAGUAGAACGCUGAGGUUUGGUGUUUACACUAGACUGAUGAGUUGCGAACGGGUGAGUAACGCGUAGGUAACCUGCCUCAUAGCGGGGGAUAACUAUUGGAAACGAUAGCUAAUACCGCAUAAGAGUAAUUAACACAUGUUAGUUAUUUAAAAGGAGCAAUUGCUUCACUGUGAGAUGGACCUGCGUUGUAUUAGCUAGUUGGUGAGGUAAAGGCUCACCAAGGCGACGAUACAUAGCCGACCUGAGAGGGUGAUCGGCCACACUGGGACUGAGACACGGCCCAGACUCCUACGGGAGGCAGCAGUAGGGAAUCUUCGGCAAUGGACGGAAGUCUGACCGAGCAACGCCGCGUGAGUGAAGAAGGUUUUCGGAUCGUAAAGCUCUGUUGUUAGAGAAGAACGUUGGUAGGAGUGGGAAAUCUACGAAGUGACGG
rnacentral:rRNA from 1 species